AGCAGCCGCGGUAAUUCCAGCUCCAAUAGCGUAUAUUACAGUUGUUGCAGUUAAAAAGCUCGUAGUUGAAUUUCGGGACCAAUAUGUCGGUCGUACUUCGUACGUACUAGCAUUAUUGGUUUCUCCCUUCUGAAGAACCACGAUGUCAUUAAUUUGGUGUCGUGGGGAAUCAGGACUGUUACUUUGAAAAAAUUAGAGUGUUUAAAGCAGGCUCGCGCUUGAAUACAUUAGCAUGGAAUAAUGAAAUAGGACGUUUGAUUCUAUUUUGUUGGUUUCUAGGAUCGACGUAAUGAUUAAUAGGGAUAGUUGGGGGCAUUAGUAUUCAAUUGUCAGAGGUGAAAUUCUUGGAUUUAUUGAAGCUAACUACUGCGAAAGCAUUUGCCAAGGAUGUUUUCAUUAAUCAAGAACG
rnacentral:rRNA from 1 species